GAGGAUUUAGCUUAAUUAAAGCGUUUGACUUGCAUUCAAUUGAUGUAAGAUAUAGUCUUGCAGUCCUUG
rnacentral:tRNA from 1 species